CCACCCAGUCUCUCUCUGCAAAGGCCUCCCUUGGCUCUCUGAUAAAGUUGGAGCUGUGGGUGCAGCAUUUCACUUGGACCUAGCAGCAUCAAUGAGCCAGCUCCUCACUGGGGAACAUGCAAACCCCCAGCUGCUGGUGUGCAGGAAAAGAAUCCAGGAGAUCACCUGAUGAAGCCCAGCAUUUUACAGGCAGUGGAGCAGGGGAAUCCAGUUGACACUGUGGCUAAAUUUCAGAAAACCUCCCAUGAGAUCUUGCAAAGGAGAUGGAGAAAAUAUGGCUGAAUGCCAGCAAG
rnacentral:lncRNA from 10 species